CGCGUGUGGAACCUGCCCUCACCAGGGGAAUAGCCCGUGGAAACAUGGAUUAAUGCCCCAUAAUGCAUAUCUGGCCGCAUGGCCGGGUUUGCUAAAGGAGCAAUUCGGGUGAGGAUGGCCACGCGUGCCAUUAGCUAGUCGGCGGGGUAACGGCCCACCGAGGCUACGAUGGCUAGGGGUUCUGAGAGGAAGGUCCCCCACACUGGCACUGAGACACGGGCCAGACUCCUACGGGAGGCAGCAGUAGGGAAUAUUGGGCAAUGGGCGCAAGCCUGACCCAGCCAUGCCGCGUGUGCGAUU
rnacentral:rRNA from 1 species